AUGCAGGUACUGUUACAAUACAACUGACGUGUUUUAUUGUCGUUCCCCCUGCUUAA
rnacentral:precursor_RNA from 1 species